GAUGAACGCUGGCGGCGUGCUUAACACAUGCAAGUCGAACGAAGCACUUUAAUCGAUUUCUUCGGAUUGAAAUUUUAGUGACUGAGUGGCGGACGGGUGAGUAACGCGUGGGUAACCUGCCUCACACAGGGGGAUAACAGUUGGAAACGGCUGCUAAUACCGCAUAAGCGCACAGUACCGCAUGGUACAGUGUGAAAAACUCCGGUGGUGUGAGAUGGACCCGCGUCUGAUUAGCUAGUUGGCAGGGCAACGGCCUACCAAGGCGACGAUCAGUAGCCGACCUGAGAGGGUGACCGGCCACAUUGGGACUGAGACACGGCCCAAACUCCGUACGGGAGGCAGCAGUGGGGAAUAUUGCACAAUGGGGGAAACCCUGAUGCAGCGACGCCGCGUGAGCGAAGAAGUAUUUCGGUAUGUAAAGCUCUAUCAGCAGGGAANAAGAAAUGACGGUACCUGACUAAGAAGCACCGGCUAAAUACGUGCCAGCAGCCG
rnacentral:rRNA from 1 species